GACAUGUCGAUGAGCUUCCUCUGGAAAGGGACCUGAAAGACAGGAGGAAAGGAUAAGAGCUGGAGAUCUCAUGAAGAACACUCCAUACCCAAGUGAUGUGCUCGAAACAGAGUCGCACUCCAAACUUGCCAUCUUCGUAGUAUCCCGGCUCUGUGGAAGAGAAGCUCUUAGACGGUUGUGGUUUCUUAUGUUAGCAAAUACUUACCGUC